rnacentral:rRNA from 1 species
AGAGUUGAUCAUGACUCAGGACGAACGCUGGCGGCGUGCCUAACACAUGCAAGUCGAACGGAGAGCAUAUGAAGUAUUUCGGUACGGAAUGCGUUCUAGUGGCGAACGGGUGAGUAACACGUGGGCAACCUGCCCCAGACUGGGGGAUAACAUUGUGAAAACAGUGCUAAUACCGCAUGACAGGGUUCCGGGCAUCCGGGACUCUUGAAAGGAGAAAUCCGGUCAGGGAUGGGCCCGCGUCCAAUUAGCUAGUUGGUGGGGUAACGGCCCACCAAGGCGACGAUUGGUAGCCGAACUGAGAGGUUGAUCGGCCACAUUGGGACUGAGACACGGCCCAGACUCCUACGGGAGGCAGCAGUGGGGAAUAUUGGGCAAUGGGCGAAAGCCCUGACCCAGCGACGCCGCGUGAAGGAUGAAGGUCUUCGGAUUGUAAACUUCUUUGAUCAGGGAAGAAAGAAAUGACGGUACCUGAAAAACAAGCCACGGCUAACUACGUGCCAGCCGCCGC